rfam:Pseudomonas sp. M47T1 contig029, whole genome shotgun sequence.
UGUCCUCGGCCUGUUGGAAGCCGUUUUUUCGGGUUCCUUAGUAAUGGAGAUGCCCUCAUGGCACUUAACGUUGAAGAAAAAGCAAAGAUCGUUGGUGAAUUUCAGCAAGCCGCU